rnacentral:rRNA from 1 species
UACGGAGGUUGCAAGCGUUAUCCGGAAUGAUUGGGCGUAAAGCGUCCGCAGGUGGCUGUGUAAGUCUGCUGUCAAAGAGCGAAGCUCAACUUCGUAAAGGCAGUGGAAACUACACGGCUAGAGUGCGUUCGGGGCAGAGGGAAUUCCUGGUGUAGCGGUGAAAUGCGUAGAGAUCAGGAAGAACACCGGUGGCGAAGGCGCUCUGCUAGGCCGCAACUGACACUGAGGGACGAAAACUAGGGGAGCGAAUGGG